AUUGAACGCUGGCGGCAGGCUUAACACAUGCAAGUCGAACGAGUGGCGGACGGGUGAGUAAUGUAUGGGGAUCUGCCCGAUAGAGGGGGAUCACUACUGGAAACGGUGGCUAAUACCGCAUACUAUCGGAUGAACCCAUAUGGGAUUAGCUAGUAGGUGGGGUAAAGGCUCACCUAGGCGACGAUCUCUAGCUGGUCUGAGAGGAUGACCAGCCACACUGGAACUGAGACACGGCCCAGACUCCUACGGGAGGCAGCAGUGGGGAAUAUUGCACAAUGGGCGCAAGCCUGAUGCAGCCAUGCCGCGUGUAUGAAGAAGGCCUUAGGGUUGUAAAGUACUUUCAGCGGGGAGGCGUUACCCGCAGAAGAAGCACCGGCUAACUCCGUGCCAGCCGCCGCGGUAAUUC
rnacentral:rRNA from 1 species